AAGUGGAGAAGGGUUCCAUGUGAACAGCAGUUGAACAUGGGUCAGUCGGUCCUAAGGGAUGGGCGAACGCCGUUCCGAAGGGUGGGGCGAUGGCCUCCGUCGCCCCCGGCCGAUCGAAAGGGAGUCGGGUUCAGAUCCCCGAACCCGGAGUGGCGGAGAUAGGCGCCGCGAGGCGUCCAGUGCGGUAACGCAAACGAACCCGGAGACGCUGGCGGGGGCCCCGGGAAGAGUUCUCUUUUCUUUGUGAAGGGCAGGGCGCCCUGGAAUGGGUUCACCCCGAGAUAGGGGCCCGCGCCCUGGAAAGCGCCGCGGUUCUGGCGGCGUCCGGUGAGCUCUCGCUGGCCCUUGAAAAUCCGGGGGAGAGGGUGUAAAUCUCGCGCCGGGCCGUACCCAUAUCCGCAGCAGGUCUCCAAGGUGAACAGCCUCUGGCAUGUUGGAACAAUGUAGGUAAGGGAAGUCGGCAAGUCAGAUCCGUAACUUCGGGAUAAGGAUUGGCUCU
rnacentral:rRNA from 1 species